AUUGAACGCUGGCGGCGUGCCUAACACAUGCAAGUCGAGCGGUAACAGGUGUAGCAAUACAUGCUGACGAGCGGCGAACGGGUGAGUAAUGCUUCGGAAUCUACCCAAUGGUGGGGAAUAACCAGCCGAAAGGUUGGCUAAUACCGCAUACGUCCCACGGGAGAAAGCAGGGGAUCGCAAGACCUUGCGCCAAUGGAUGAGCCGAAGUCGGAUUAGCUAGNGGUAGGGUAACGGCCUACCAAGGCGACGAUCCGUAGCUGGUCUGAGAGGACGACCAGCCACACUGGGACUGAGACACGGCCCAGACUCCUACGGGAGGCAGCAGUGGGGAAUAUUGGACAAUGGGGGAAACCCUGAUCCAGCGACGCCGCGUGUGUGAAGAAGGCCU
rnacentral:rRNA from 1 species